rnacentral:rRNA from 1 species
GACGAACGCUGGCGGCGUGCCUAAUACAUGCAAGUUGAGCGCUGAAGGUUGGUACUUGUACCUACUGGAUGAGCAGCGCACGGGUGAGUAACGCGUGGGGAAUCUGCCUUUGAGCGGGGGACAACAUUUGGAAACGAAUGCUAAUACCGCAUAAAAACUUUAAACACAAGUUUUAAGUUUGAAAGAUGCAAUUGCAUCACUCAAAGAUGAUCCCGCGUUGUAUUAGCUAGUUGGUGAGGUAAAGGCUCACCAAGGCGAUGAUACAUAGCCGACCUGAGAGGGUGAUCGGCCACAGUGGGACUGAGACAGGGCCCAAACUCCUACGGGAGGCAGCAGUAGGGAAUCUUUAGCAAUGGACGAAAGGCUGACCGAGCAACGCCGCGGGAGUGAAGAAGAUUUUCGGAUCGUAAAAGUCUGUUGGUAGAGAAGAACGUUGGUGAGAGUGGAAAGCUCAUCAAGUGACGGUAACUACCCAGAAAGGGACGGCUAACUACGUG